GCGGGAGUAGCUCAGUUGGUAGAGCACGACCUUCCCAAGGUCGGGGUCGCGAGUUCGAGCCUCGUCUCCCGCU
rnacentral:tRNA from 1 species